AUAGAAGUUUAAAGGAGAGUCGGUUAGCACUCUCCUUGAUAAGGAUGGACAAUGGAACUUAAAUAUACUUAUUAU